rnacentral:lncRNA from 1 species
AGUACGUUUCGGGCACAACGUAUGGCUUCCAUGCAAAUAAAAUUGAAAACAGAAAAUAUUACUCUUCAAGUAGAGUGACAGUGAUGAUCUUUUCAGCCUUCCAGUUCUGGACUUCCAUCCCUGGUACGCACGGCUUUAUCCAUUGAUCCAAGUCACUGUCAACUUCUUCACCCACCAUAUAGAUGUGAUCUGGAUCCAGCAUUCCA